rnacentral:rRNA from 1 species
ACGGAGGGUGCGAGCGUUGUCCGGAAUCACUGGGCGUAAAGGGCGCGUAGGCGGCGCGAGGAGUCGGGGGUGAAAGUCCGGGGCUCAACCCCGGAUCGGCCUUCGAUACUCUCGCGCUGGAGCACAGUAGAGGCGGGUGGAAUUCCGGGUGUAGCGGUGGAAUGCGUAGAGAUCCGGAAGAACACCGGUGGCGAAGGCGGCCCGCUGGGCUGUGGCUGACGCUGAGGCGUGACAGCGUGGGGAGCAAACAGGA